rnacentral:rRNA from 1 species
GGAUUAAUUCGAUGCAACGCGAAGAACCUUACCAAGGCUUGACAUGCACGGCGGCACUGCAGAGAUGUGGUGGCAUUUAGUUGGUCGUGUGCAGGUGGUGCAUGGUUGUCGUCAGCUCGUGUCGUGAGAUGUUGGGUUAGUCCCGCAACGAGCGCAACCCUUGCCCUAUGUUGCCAGCACGUGAUGGUGGGGACUCGUGGGGGACUGCCGGGGUUAACUCGGA